rnacentral:rRNA from 1 species
UUUUAUUUCGGUAGAUUCUUAGUGGCGAACGGGUGAGUAACGCGUGGGCAACCUGCCCUUCAGAUGGGGACAACAUUCCGAAAGGGGUGCUAAUACCGAAUACGAUCAUUCCUCCGCAUGGAGGGAUGAGGAAAGAUGGCCUCUAUUUAUAAGCUAUCGCUGAAGGAUGGGCCUGCGUCUGAUUAGCUAGUUGGUGGGGUAACGGCCUACCAAGGCGAUGAUCAGUAGCCGGUCUGAGAGGAUGAACGGCCACAUUGGGACUGAGACACGGCCCAAACUCCUACGGGAGGCAGCAGUGGGGAAUAUUCCGCAAUGGACGAAAGUCUGACGGAGCAACGCCGCGUGAGUGAUGAAGGUUUUCGGACUGUAAAACUCUGUUGUUUAGGACGAAAGUGCCUGUUGCAAAUAGUUGCAGGUAUUGACGGUACUGAACGAGGAAGCCACGGCUAACUACGUGCCAGCAGCCGCGGUAAUACGUAGGUGGCAAGCGUUGUCCGGAAUUAUUGGGCGUAAAGAGCAUGUAGGUGGAUACUUAAGUCUGUUGUGAAAAUGCGGGGCUCAACCCCGUAUUGCGAUGGAAACUGGGUGUCUUGAGUGCAGGAGAGGAAAGGGGAAUUCCCAGUGUAGCGGUGAAAUGCGUAGAUAUUGGGAGGAACACCAGUGGCGAAGGCGCCUUUCUGGACUGUGUCUGACACUGAGAUGCGAAAGCUAGGGGAGCGAACGGGAUUAGAUACCCCGGUAGUCCUAGCCGUAAACGAUGGGUACUAGGUGGUAGGGGGGUAUCGACCCCCCCUGUGCCGGAGUUAACGCAAUAAGUACCCCGCCUGGGGAGUACGGCCGCAAGGUUGAAACUCAAAGGAAUUGACGGGGGCCCGCACAAGCGGUGGAGUAUGUGGUUCAAUUCGACGCAACGCGAAGAACCUUACCAAGGCUUGACAUUGAGUGAAAUGUUAAGAGAUUAGCACCCCUCUUCGGAGGCACGAAAACAGGUGGUGCAUGGCUGUCGUCAGCUCGUGUC